rnacentral:sRNA from 1 species
ACAACAUGGCCUCCUCCGCCUCCUCCUCUCCCGCGGGCACCGAGGACUCCGCUCCUGCCCAGGGUGACUUUGGAUCAUAUUAUUCACGAAGCUCUAGAAAGGUAAGUGAACUUGGCAUUGGCCAUUGCUUAUUAUGCUUCCUGUCUGGCUCUUACUCAUGUUGCCAUUUUGUGGACUAAAACUCAAGGCAGUUCAAAAAUACUGAUAUGCAGGUGCCAUGGAUGCUGUUGGAGUGUGUGUCCUAAGAGAGAGGGUAAGUGCUGGUUUUCCAUUUUAAACAUAGCUCGUGAUAUCAAGUUGCCCCCUCCCUUCAUUCCCUGACUCCCGUCUUCCCCCAAAAGCGGCUCUCUUGGUUUAGUAAGCAUCUCUACCCUGCAAAGCGGAAAUAAUGAAAAAUGAGAUUCACUUUGCAAGCUUGUUUGGAUGAGCUUCUGGAGAAUAAUUUUUACCAAAAGCCUGAAAUCAUUUGGCAUUGUUGGUGUUUUCAAUGCAUCUGCAUCACAGCACAUUGCAUUUCACAUCUGGCCAGUUUGGAAUGAAACUUAGAAAAUCACCAGACUAUAGUGAUGUAAUUGUCAUGAAGUGGUUUUUGUAGCUUAGAGAAAAGAAAAACACUUGGCUGAAAGAAUGGUCUGAAGUCCCACCCAAAGUAAAACAUUCUAAAUUAAUAGUUGCCUAAAGACUACAGUAUUAUUAGACUUCUAUUUAAAAAAAUUCACAGUUCUAAUCAAAGAAGUGUAAUUGGAGUUUCCUUUUUAAAUAUUUGAAGACUGUAUUUACUAUUUUGAUGUUCAAUUAUUAGAUCUAUAUUUAGAAGGAAGUCUAGAGGCAUUUUAAGCUAAAUAGGAAUGUGGAUUCCUAUUCAACUUACUAUUGGAAAAAUACAUUGUCAUUAUAGAUUUUUAAAGUAUUAAGUAGCUUUUAAAAAACAUUAUAGGACUGUUAUAGCUGAAUCCUUUUAAUAUCUUCAUUGUUCUUAAUUCUCUAGGAGUUUAGUAACAUUUUGCUUUUUUUGGUAAAAUUUGAAGUCUAAUUUACUAGUUGGCUAUUUCUUUACAUUGAGAAUGGUUAUUACUUUUUCACUCUGAACAAUUGAAAAUUAAGACAAAUUACACUUAAAUAUAAAUUCUUGAUGGUUUUCUUUGCUGUUCUUUUCAUUUAUUAUUGGAAAACAGAUACUGCAUUAAAGUAUUUGUUGAAAUAUGCCUAAGUGUGUUUUCAGAUAG